rnacentral:rRNA from 1 species
AUCGAACGCUGGCGGCAGGCCUAACACAUGCAAGUCGAACGAACCUUUCGGGGUUACUCGCGGACUGAUGAGUAACACGUUGGAACAUGCCUUUGGAUUCGGCUUGAAUCAGGGAAUAUUGUGCUGAAACCGAAUGUGCCCUUGGGUGGAAAGAUUUAUCGGCUUUAGAGCGGCCUGCGUCUGAUUAGCUAGUUGUUUGAGUUAAUGGCUCAUCAAGGCGAGGAGAGGUAGCUGGUCUGAGAGGAUGAGCAGCGACAUUGUCACUGAGACACGGCCGAAAAUCUUACGGGAGGGAGCAGUGGGGAAUCUUGCGAAAUGGGCGAUAGGAUGACGCAGCUAGGACGGGUGAACGCUGAAGGUUUUAGGAUUGGAAAAUUAUUUAACCGGUGACGAUAAUGACGGUACCAGGAGAAGAAGCACCGGCUAACUUCGUG